UUUGACAAACGCUGCAUUUAAUUGAUGUAGAGGAAAGUCCAUGCUCGCACCAUCUGUGAUGAUGGUAGUGUUCGUGCAUAGGGAAAAAAUAACCUAUGGUAGUGUUAACUAACGGCGCUGAAAUGACCUACGUGUUUUCAUAUGGUCAAAAUAGGCAUAAAGUGCCAAAGAGACGAGUUUUUUGAGAAAUCGAAAAAGUGGAACGUGGUAAACCCCGCGAGCGAGAAACCCAAAUUAUGGUAGGGGAACCUAAUAAAAAGGAAUUAAGAACUUUUUAUGGGAUGAAUUUAUAUUCAUAGAUAGAUGUUUGUCGCCUAUUUAAUAGGAACAGAACAUGGCUUAUAA
rnacentral:RNase_P_RNA from 1 species